rnacentral:lncRNA from 1 species
GGCUCCUUAGGCUAAUCGCACGCUCUCAUUGGAAAUUGCAUUAGAAAUUUUGCCAAAGUGAUAAGUUCUCCUUCGUUUAUUCAUGCCUUGUGGUGUUAUUUUGCCUUCACUACCAUCUUUUAUCACGUCAAAAUAUCAUAUAAAACACAUAAUAAGUAAUAAUAAGACACCAAAAACCACAAAUUAGAGUUCAGCAUAACACAAUAUUAAAACUACGGGCUAGAAACUCUAUCGAAGGACUAGUUUCGACCACUUUACGCUAUAAUGUAUUGUUGAUGCUUGGCUCAUUUUAAUUUAAUGUUGAACACUAUACACAAGUUUUUAUACAUAUAUUUACAUAUUCACACCAUAAGUAACUCAUUUAACACAUUAUAAUCCAUCGAGAAUAGCUAGAACGACACCUAGCUCAAGCUAGUAACACUAGUUUUCUCGUCUAAACUCUAAGAGACUCAAUUAAGCACAAAAUUGUCUGAAAACACUUUUACACAUUGAAAUCACAUAAUUGAACACUUAAAUACUUAUUUAUACCAUCACUUACUUAUUAAGAACAUUAAUUAUCCUCAAAAAAGGGUAAAUAGGCUAGGAUAACAACACUAGAAUGCAUAAAUACACCCGACAUCAAAAGUGUUCGAAGUUUUUAAAAAUUUGAGGUACUGUAAUUUUUAGAAAGAGAAUCAUUUUAUCCUGGGAGGAAAUAUUCUAUAACCUCGAGUAUUUUAGGGGAAUAAAUUCCUUAAGGACACACCGUGUAUUUGAUGGACUUGAUUUUACAAUUUUCUGCUUUAUCUUCUUUCUUAAAGUUGAUAAACACUUCAUUUUGAUUGUUCAUUUGAUUAGUCAUUUGGACUUGUGUUUGAAGUUGUUGUAACUUCAUUGUAGUUCUUGAAAGUUUUUCUUGAACUUAGUAUUAAAGUUUGGGUUGAAACAUAUAGAUUUUUGUACCCGGAAUAACAAUCUUAAGGAAUUUAUUAAAAAAAAAAUUGUGCUUGUUUGGUGAAUUUUUUUUCACCAUUUAUAAAUAAAGUACUUUCAAAGUCUGUAUUGUUUGGUUUUGGAGAUUAAAGCUUCUUGCCAUCUAUUCUGUUUGAACUUAAUAGUGAUUUGAAGAUAUAAAAAAACUUCAUCAUGAGUUAAAGUUCAUUCAGAAAACUUCAUCAUGAGCUAAAGUUCAUUCAGUUGACGAUUAGGAAAACAUAAAAAACUUCAUCGUUAAACUAGAACCAAGUUGGUGUUUAAAGUUUUAAAAACCUUAUAACUAGGCUAUUCAAACAAACUAAGUUGAUUGUCUUUUUGUGAUAAAAAAAUGACUACUGAAAGUCAUGUAACUGAUGAAUUGGAAAUUGCAGCAACAACAAUUGUUGAUACGAUAAGCCGCACAAGUGUUGCAUCCGCAAUGACACCUGUAGAGAAACCCAAAAAAAAUUUUGGUGUAGUGUUCAAAUGUUGGCCGCAAAAGAUACUUUUCUAUUUGACAACGUUAAGUCUUCAAAGGUUCGACUCUGAAAAUGCUCCAGAAUUGCCAAAAUAUAAACCAAACAAGGAGAGGUUUGUUAUAAUAGAGGCAUGGAAACACUCGAACUUUUAAUACAAGAAUUAUAUCCUAAGUGUCCUCCAAGACGACCUGUAAAAUGUGUACAACUGUAUGAAGACCUUGAGAGAGUUUUGGAAGGCUUUGGGAUGAAAGAAUAUAACUGAGGAUGCAGGAAUUAAGAAGUUCUUUAUUGCAAAGUUCCUUGAGUACCAGAUAAUUGACAGUAAGAGUGUCAUCUCUCAAGUACAAGAAUUGCAAGUAAUCAUCCAUGAUCUCCUGCCAGAAGGUAUGGAUAUAGUAAAUAACUUAUUUGAACAUGUUAAGUGUGUUCUUAAUUAUCUCAUGACCUUAGAUAUAGGUUUAAUUAUGAAUGAGGCUUUCCAAAUAGCGGUUAUAACAGAAAAAUUUCCACCUUUAUGGAAGGAUUUUAAAAACAACUUAAAGUAUGAUGUCAUUCAAAGACCUUAUUGUGAGGUUAUGCAUUGAAGAAGAUAAUAAAGUAGGAGAGAAGAAGUGAAAUAGGAAUUCUGCAAUCAAUAGAGCUAAUACUUUGGAGGAUGACCCUAACAACUCAAAAAAAUAAAAGAAAGCAACUGGACAACAAAUCAAUCCUUCAAAGAAGAAAUUCAAAGAGAAUUGCUUUAAUUGUGGCAAGGCUGUCCAUAAGUUCAUAGAUUGUAGGGCCCCUAAGAAAGUCAAAAAAAUGAUCAAUCCAACUUGGAAGAAUCCAAAAAGAAAGUGAAUGAUCUAUGUGUCAUGCUUUCAGAAUGUAUCUUGAUGGGAAAUCCUAGAUAUUGGUGGAUUAGUUUCGAUGCCACCGCCAUUUAUGUGCCAAAAAAGAGUUGUUUGCUUCGUAUGCUCCGACUCAAGAUGAGGAGAAAAAUGAUAUGGCUAACUCCGAAAUAGAAAAGGUUGAACGAAUGAGAAAAAUUUCCUUGAAGAUGACAUUAGGCAAAGUGUUAACAGUCAAAAAUAUCCUUCAUGUACCAGAGUUGAGAAAGAACUUGAUUUCUAUAUCACUUCUGACAAAAAAUUGAUUCAAAUGUGUAUUUGUUUCUGAUAACGUUGUAAUUACCAAAGGAGAAGUAUAUAUAGAAAAUGGUUACCUCACCAAGGGCCUAUUGAAGAUCAAUGUAAUGACUGUUUAGAUCAAUAAGAUUUUUAAUUCUUCUAACUUACUUGAGUCUAAUGAAUUGUGCCAUGAAUGGUUAGGACAUAUCAAUGACAAAACUUUGUGAAAACUGAUUAACUCAGAAGUUUUGCCAAACUUUGAGUGAAAUAAAUCAAAGUGUCAAACAUGUAUGGAAUCAAAGUAUGUAAGCAUCCGUAUAAGUCCAUUUAAAGGAAUUCCAAUCUCUUAGACAUAAUCCACACGAACAUCUGUAAGAUAAACCCAACACCAUCUCAUAGAGGAACAAAGUAUUUUAUAACUUUUAUUGACGAUUUCACUAGGUACUGUUAUGUUUAUUUGCUAAAUAGUACGGAUAAAGAAAUAGAUGUGUUUAGGCAAUACAAAACAAAAGUUGAAAUUAGUUAGAGAAAAAGAUCAAAACAAUAAAAAGUGAUAGGGGUGAAGAAUAUGAAUCUCCUCUUGUGGAGAUAUGAGUAGAAAAUAGAAUUAUCCAUCAAACUGAUACCCUGUAUUUACCUCAAUCAAAUGGAAUUGCGGAAAAGAAAGACCAAACAUUAAAGAAAAUAAUGGCUGUCUUACUUAUCAGAUCAGGUUUACCAUAAAAUUUGUGGGGGAGAUAUUGUAACACCCCAAGGGUACACCAUAGGCGUCACACGGUGCUUACGACCACCAAGGACCAUAAGCUAACCCAUGAUUGGCACCUGCUAUGUGCACUGAAUAUAAUACUGGAAUAUAUGCGGAUGAAAUUUGAAAAUGUCAUAACGUUCUAAAAAUACUUAAAUAACAACUGAGUAUAACUGAUAAUAACAUCCGAAAACUAAAUAACUGACUAUGCUAGUCUGAGAGCCUCUAACUGUCUUAAUAUUGAGUUGAUGGGACAAUCCCCCAACUAACUCUGACUGAAAUAACUAUUGAACUGCUGAAAUGCUGAAAUAGAUAAACUCUACCCUCAAAAUAUAAGGACUCACCACUAUAACUAUUAUUGAUAGGCUGAGCUGCUAAGUACGAUUAGGAACCUGAGUGUCUGAACCUAUGAUAUGAGACAUCAUAGCGCAAAAGAAAGUAUACGAUCAGUACGUGAAAUAUUCAAGGAUGAUAUACAUGGGUUUAUAUGCAUGAGAUAAUGAGUGACUGAAUGAACAUCAUGAGGUAACUGGAUGAGAGUACAUGCAAAUCUGUAACUACUAAAAUAUACUGAACAUGCAAUACUGUGCAUAUAGGUAAACAUCAUGUACUUGAGAUUAUACUAAAACUAAGUACUGAAUUCUAAAGGUUGAGUAACUAAUAAUUGAUAGUCAUGGUUCUGUAUAACAGACUCUUUACUGAAUAAUAAGACUGAAGUUGUAACUGUGGGAGUGUUCAUCUAACCGACAUAUCUCGAUAUAGACUGAUUUAGGGUCAAACCUAUGACCCCAGUUAGAAGGGUGUUAGCACCUUGCCACAAGAUACUAACAAGGCUAUGUCAACCCUAAUUUGGUAAGAAGACUUAUGAAAUAUAUAUAUGAUUGUGUCAACCCUAGUCUGGCAGGAUGACGACUUAUCCUACGUUGGCUACGUAGUUCUGUAACUCAAGGAUUGCUACUAAGGGUCAAAGCCUAAUUAGAAGGACUUCCCCUAUCCCUAGGUUCGCUCGGUGCUGAAUCCUACUCCCAACUGAAAAACAUUGAUCACUAGACAGUACUAAGCUUGAAUGAACUGACCCUGAUCAUGUUGACUGACUGAAUUAGACUGAGUUCAUUGAGUUCUAUUAAUUGACUGAGUACUACGGUCUUUGACCUUUAUUAGAACUAUUCUAUAACUACUACAAAGAAGUAAGCAGCUAGAUUUUGGAUUAUAAUUACCCCCAGGACUCGAUAGCAUAAUUGAUAAACUCAUAUAACAACUUUAGCAACACAACAAAAGGUUAUCAUGCAUAAUUCACUCACAUAGACAUUUUAUCAAACACUUGGGGAGCAUGAUUGCUAUACAUGAAAACUAACCACAUAGGUCAUCAUAACUACAACAUGCAACUACCAAAUUCAAGGGUUUUGACAUGAGAGAUUCAUAAUUUAACACACAUACUAAUUUAAUUUAAUGGAAUUCAUAAAAUAUCUCAACUUAAAAUCCAUACAGAAACACAAACAUAAGCAUAAUUUAAUUCAUAACAUAGGAAUCAUAAUUCAAGUUUUAAAAAAAGGUUCAUGAACUUCAAAGGUGGAAGGAGACCCAACGAUGAAUGCCUAACAUACCUUGAUUAUUGAAUUUAUGGGAAUUGUUGGUGAAUUCUUGAGACUUAGACUUGAAUUUGUUGAACCUAGGGCUUUGUUCUUGAGAGGUUUGGUGAAGAAUGAAUUUAUUUUGCCCUUUUGGAAGCUUAAUUUUGUGUUUUGGCUGAAUUAGGUGAAGGUAAAAGGACCUCAAUGCCCUUGUAAAGUUGUAAUUAAGUGAGGAAAAUGUGCCUAGCGCCACGGCAGGUGCCGCGCCGCAUUGAUGGUGUUGACAUGAUUGUCGAUGCAUCGCGUUGAUACUAUCAACGUGAUAGCUAAUGUGAUGUGUUGAGAUUGCAUUGUAUUGAUAUUUUGGACACCCAAACAUGACUCAAAUGAUGUCCAAAAAUUCUGAAACUCACCCAAGAUGACCUAUUGACAUCCCUGAUCAUGAAUCAACUUAAAAAUUGACAUUCUAAGAUCGUAAGGAUCGAAAAUAAGAUCAUCCAAUUAUAAAGGCUAAAAAUAAUUCUAAGUCUUAACACUUAGCUGAAUUUUUCUAAGUUUGGGACCCCUUAUUACAAACUAUAUGGGACUGAAUUGAACUAGAACUUUUCGGGGUCUUACAAUAUCUCCUCCUUGGGAAUAUUCAUCCUUGAAUGAGAUUGACUGAACUGAGAGGAACUGAGGAACUAUACUUACACUGACAUACAUAAUUGAACCAUAACUGAAUUCUGGAGACAUGACACAUGACUAAACUAUUUCAUGAAUGCAUGAGUGAUAUGAGAAUUCCAUGCAGCUGUAACUGAGUAUGGAAUAUAGUAAAUCUAAGAAAGGUUGUUACCUUAGACUGAGUCUAAGUUUGUGGAGAAGAGGUGAGAAUAAUUGGUUCACUUGUCUGCCUCUGCUUCCUAAGUAGCGCCCACAAUGGACUGAUUCCUCCAAAGAACUUUGACCAAAGGAACUUCUUUGUUCCUUAGUCUGUGAAUCUAACGAUCAAGGAUUUUAACUAGGACUUUCUCAUAAAAAAGACUAUUCUGAACAUCUACAGUCUCUAUAGGGACUAUAAUUGCUGGGUCACCAAUGUACUUCUUCAACAAGGAGACAUGAAACACUAGGUGCACUGAUGCUAAGUCUGCAAGUAACUCAAGCUCAUAAGCUACCUUACCGAAACGGCUUAAAAUCCUAUAAGGACCAACAUAUUGGGGACUUAGCUUCCCCUUCUUACAAAAUAUCUUCGCCCUCUUCAUGGGAUAGAUGUUCAAAUACACAUAAUCACCAAUCUUAAAUUCAAGAUCUUUCCUUCUCAUAUCCGUCUAAGAAUUUUGUCGGCUCUGGGUGUCUUAAGCCUAUCCCUGAUCAACUGUACUCUAUAUCUUCUCCCAUAAAGAGUCUCAAAUGAAGCCAUCUAGAUACUGGAAUGAUUACUGUUAUUAUACACGAACUCAAUCAAAGGUAAGUGGUCAUCCCAACUGCCCUUAAAGUCAAGACAUAUGCUCUCAACAUAUCUUCUAAAGUCUUAAUGGUACUUUCUGCUUGACCAUCUGUCUGAGGGUAAAAGGCUAUACUGAGGUGGACUUGGGUACCAAGAACCUUUUGGAAGGCUUUCCAAAAGUGAGAGGUAAACUUCAUACAUCUAUCUGAAAUGAUAGACAAUGGGACACCGUGUAACCUAACCAACUAUCUUAUAUAGAUCCUGGCAUAGUCCUCAGCUAAAUAAGAAGUAUGAACUGGCAAGAAAUAGGCUGAUUUGGUCAUCCUGUCCACAAUGACCCAAAUCGAAUCAUGCUGACGCCGAGUAUGAGGCAAGCCUUUCACGAAAUCCAUCUUCACUUCCUCCUACUUCUAAGUGGGAAUACUGAACUCCUACAUAGACCCACAAGGCUUCUGAUGUUUAAUCAGAACCUGGUAAAAAGUAGAGCACUUAGCUAUAAACUCUGCAAUGUCCCUCUUCAUCCCACUCCACUAAUAGAUUUCCCAUAUAUUGUGGUACAUCUUCGUGUCCCCUGGAUGAAUAGAGUAAUACGCACCAUGCACUUUAUCAAUAAUUCGUUGUCUCACGUCAUCUACACAUGGCACUCAUAGUCUACCCUGGCAACGCAACACACCAACUCCCCUUUUGGAGAAAACCUCUACUUUCUAGUCUUUGAUUGACUCUUUCAGCUUAACUAAAUUGGGAUCUCUGUCCUGCUUUUCUUUUACCUUGAAAACUAAAGAAGACUCUGAAAUAUUUUGCACUCAAACACUUCCAUUAUCCGAAUCAACCAAACGGCCACCUAUCCUAGCAAUCUAAUGAACUUCCUGAACUAACUUUUUCUUACCAUCCUCAAUGUAAGCAAAACUACCCAUAGACGACCUACUGAGGCCAUCUACCACUAUAUUGGCCUUGCCUAAAUGAUACAGAACACCCAUGUCAUAGUCUUUCAAUAACUCUAACCACCUUCUCUAAUACAAGUUCAGGACUUUCUGUGAAAACACAUACUGUAUUCUUUUAUGUUCUGUGAAUACAUCAACACGCACCCCAUACAAAUAGUGCCUCCAAAUCUUUAAGGAAAACACAAUAGUUGUUAUUCAAGAUCAUGGGUGGGAUAAUUAUUUUCAUGAGGCUUAAGUUGUCUAGAGGCAUAGGCAAUAACCAUACCCUUCUACAUCAAAACACAUCCUAAGACACUUUUGGAAGCAUCACAAUAUACAACAAAUUCAUCUGAACCAUCAGGUAAAGUCAAAACUAGGGUUGUAGUGAGUCUAGUCUUCAACUCCUGAAAACUCUUCUCACAAUAAUCUGACUACUGAAAUUUAACUUUUUUGUUAGUCAAUCUAGACAUAGGGUAUGCAUUAAAUGAAAAACCUUCAACAAACCAUCAGUAAUAGCUAGCCAAAACCAAGAAACUCCUGAUAUUUGACGGAGAGAUGGGUCUGAGCCAAUUUUUCACUGCUUCAGUCUUUUGAGGAUCAACUCUAUUGCCAUCACUAGAAAUAUUACGACCAAGGAAAGCUACUAACCUUAGCCGAAAUUCAUAUUGACCGAAUUUGGCAAACAACUGAUGGGCUCUGAGUGUCUGUAAUACUAUUCUGAGAUACUCUGUAUAGUCAUUCUCACUGCGGGAGUAGACAAGAAUGUCAUCGAUGAAGACUAUAGUAAACAUGUCUAAGUACUGCUUGAACACGCAGUUUAUCAAGUCCAUAAAAGCUGUUGGGGCAUUGGUAAGACCAAUGAAAUGACUAGAAACUCAAAGUGAACAUACCGAGUUCUGAAAACUAUUUUUGCAAUGUCAUAUUCUCUGACUCUAAGCUAAUGAUAGACGAAGCUGAGGUCUAUCUUAGAAAAGUAACUGGCACCUUGAAGUUGGUCAAACAAUAGUGGGUACUUAUUAUUUACUGUGACUUUGUUCGACUGAUGGUAGUUUAUACACAUUCUAAGAGAACUGUCUUUCUUUCACACAAAUAUAACUGUUGCACCCUAAGGAGAUAUAUUGGGCUUAAUGAACACUUUGUUUGAUAGGUCCUUUAACUAUUCUUUCAACUAUUUAAGGUUAGCUGGAGCCAUUUUGUAUGGCAAAAAAGAGAUGGGCUGAGUAUCAGGAAGAAGGUCUAUUUUGAAGUCGAUUUUCCUUUUAGGAGAAACUCCAUGGAGGUCUUAGGGAAACAUAUCUACAAAUUCACUUGCGACUGGAACUGACUAAAGAUUAGGAGUCUCAGAACUAGAGUCUUUGACUCAUACCAAAUGAUAGACACACCCCUUGGAUAUCAUUUUUCUCGCUUUAAGGUAUGAAAUAAGUUGACCCUUAAGUGUUGUGGUACUACCCCUCCAUUCUAGAACAGGUUCAUUCGGGAACUGAAUAUAGACAACUCUAUUUCCAUAAUCAACUGAGGCAUAGAAUGAAUGGAUCCAAUCCAUGCUGAGAAUGACAUCAUAAUUCGUUACCUCUAACUCUACUAAGUCUGCUGAAGUAACUUUUUGAGACACCAUAAUCGUACCGUUCCUAUAUACCCGUCGGGCUAUGAUAGAAUUACCCACUUAAGUAAAGACUAAGAAAGGCUCUGUUAGGAUUUUGGGGCCGACUCCAAAGUUGACAGCUAUAUAAGGAGUUAGAAAAGAUAGAGAAGCUCUACGAUCUAACAAAGUAUAAACAUGUAAAUUGUAAACUUGUAAUGUACCAGUGACCACAUCAGAAGAACUUUUCUAAUCCUAUCAGGACUGGUGUGCAUAGAUCCUAUUUGGGCAUUUCCCACUAAUGGCACUAAAAAUGGCACCCUACUAAGAUAGGUGAUCGGGCAGAGUUGGGGGACGAUUAUGCUAACUCUGCAAACCCAUCUGAGGACACUCUCUGAUUCUAUGACUUGGCUUACCACACUCGAAAAACACAUCGCUGCCAACCUUGCAGACACACUAAUAAUUUCUGCCAUACUUCUAACAAAGAGGAUUUGUUCGGCCACUGCUUACACUAUCCUGAGAUUUAAAACCUAGUUCCCUAUCCUUAUUACCAUUUCUAAAUUUAGGCACCAGAGCAUUGGUUGAGGACAGAUAUGGGACUAAAUAUUUUGAGCAAAACUAAGAAUGAUUACUACCCUCUGACUUAGGUUAAGCAAAACUAAAGCUACUUGUUCUAGCCCUCUUUCUUUCCCUCUCUUUCUCCUUAGUUUUUUGUUCCUCAAUUUAAUGAGAAUAGACCAUCAACCUAGCCAAGUCUAUCUCCUUAAUCAACAUUACUGUCCUACACUUAUUAACUAUACUGUCAGAUACACCAGACACAAACUUGCUCAUCUUAGACCUACUUUCAGCUACUACAUGAGGAGCAUACCAUGACAACUGAGUAAACAUGAGGGAAUAAUCUUUUACACUCAUGUUUCCCUACUUCAGAUUAAUGAACUCUAAAACCUUAGCUUCCCUUUACUCCAACGGGAAGAACCUAUCUAGAAAGGCAGUAGCAAACUCCACCCAUUUUAUAGGCCCUGUAUCUGUGCCCCUAUCUACCUUCCACUAUUUAAACCAUGUAUGAUCUAUAUCCUAUAACUGAUAGGAAACUAACUCAUCACUCUCACUAGCGGUUACCCCUAUAAUGUUGUUACCUUCUUCACCAUGUCAAGGAAUUCUUGUGGGUCUUCUUCAGACUUAAACCCUAAAAAUAAAAGAAGGUUUAUUCAGGUAAAGUCCUAAAUUCUAUGCUAGUCUGAGAGCGUCUAACUGUCUGAAUAUGGAGUUGAUGGGACAAACCCCAAACUAACUUUGAUUGAAAUAACUACUGAACUGCUAAAAUACUGAAAUAGAUAAACUCUUCCUUCAAAUUAUGAGGACUCACCACUACAACUAUUGCUGAUAGACUAAGCUGCUAAGUACGGUCAGUAACUUGAGUAUCCGAACCUAUGAUAUAAGACAUCAUAGCUCAAAAUAAAGUAUGCGAUAAGUACAUGGAAUGUACGGGUAUACUAAGUAAGGUAAAAUUUAUAUACAUGGGUUCAUAUGUAUGAGAUGAUAACUAACUAAAUUAACAUCAUGAGGUAACUGGAUGAGAGUAAACAUACUGAACAUACAAUACCACGGUAACUGGAUGAGAGUAAACAUACUAAACAUGCAAUAACGCGUAUAUAUGUAUACAUGUGUAUCUGAGAUUAUACUAAAAUUGAGUACUUAAUUUUGAUAGAUGAGUAAUUGAUAACUAAUAGCCAUGGUUCUAUAGAACUGACUGAGUUCUUUACUUAAUAUUGAGACUGAAACUAUAACUGUAGAAGUAUUUAUCUAACUGACAUACCCCGAUGUAGACUGAUUUGGGGUCCAACCUGUGACCCUAGUUGGAAGGGUGGCACCUUGCCACAGGAUACUAACAAGGCAGUGCCAACACUAAUCUAGCAGGAAGACUCAUGAAAUAUAUAUGAUUGCGUCAACCCUAGUCUGGUAGGAGGAUGACUUACCCUACGCUGGCUACGUAGUUCUAUAACUCAGGGAUUUCUACUAAGGGUCAAACCCUAUCUAUCAUGAAUGCCCCCAUCCCUAGGUUCGCUCGGUGCUGUAUCCUACUCUCAACUGAAAGACACUGAUCACUAGACUGUACUAAGCUUGACUGAACUGACCUUGAUCAUGUUGACUGACUAAACUAGACUGAGUUUAUUGAGUUUUGUUAACUGACUGAGUACUUCGGUCCUUGAACUUUACUGGGACUAUUCUAUUACUACUACAACUAAGUAAACAGCUAGAUUUCAAUUAAUAAUUACCCCCAGGACUCGAUAGCAUAAUUGAUAAACUCAUAUCACAACUUUAGCAACACAUUUAUAGGUUAUCAUGCAUAAUUUACUCAUAUGGACAUUUUAUCAAACACUUGGGAGCAUGAUUACUAUACAUGAAAACUAACCACAUAGGGCAUCAUAACUACAACAUGCAACUUGCAAAUUCAAGGGUUUUGACAUGAGAGAUUCAUAAUUAAACACACAUGCUAAUUUAAUUUCAUGGAAUUCAUAGAAGAUCUUAACUUGAAAUCCAUACAACAACAUAAACUUGAGCAUAAUUCAAUUCAUAACAUGGAAAUCAUAAUUCAAGUUUUAAAAAAAGGUUCUUGAACUCCAAGGGUGGAAGGAGACCCAAGGAUGAACACCUAACAUACCUUGAUUAUUGAAUUCAUGGGAAUUGCUGGUGAAUUCUUGAGACUUGGACUUGAAUUUGAUGAACCCAGGGUUUUGUUCUUGAGAGAUUUUAUGAAGAAUGAACGUAUUUUACUCUUUUGGAAGCUUAAUUUUGUGAUUUGGCUGAAUUGGAUGAGUGGAAAAGGACCUAAAUGCCCUUAAAAAGUCAUAAUUAAAUGAGUAAAAUAUGCCCAGCAAUGCGGCAGGUGACGCAUUACGUCGAUGGAGCCAAUGCGAUUACCCAUGCACCGUGUCGAUGAUGUCAACGCAAUAGCAAUGCGACGUGUUGAAAUCACAUUGUCUUGUUGUUUUGGUCAUCCAAACGUGACUCAAACGAUGUCCAAAAAUUCUGAAACUCACCCAAGAUGACCUAUUGACAUCCCUAAUCAUGAAUCAACUUAAAAAUUGACAUUCUAAGGUCAUAAGGAUCAAAAAAUAGGAUCAUCCAAAAAUAAAGUCUAAAAAUUAUUCUAAGUCUUAACACUUCACUGAAUUUUUUUUUAAGUUUGGGACCCCUUAUUACAAGAUAUAUGGGAGUGAAUUGAACUAGAAAUUUACAGGGUCUUACAGCUAUCCUUACAGCUAAUUGGAUACUCAAUAGACUGCCCUCUAGUAAGACGCUUUCAAUUCCAUAUAAAAAAUGAAAAAGAAGGAAACCAAACUUGAAAUAUUUCAAAAUGUAAGGGUGUCUAGAGAAGGUCCAUAUUCCUAAGCCUAAAAGGGUAACGAUAGGACCUACUAUUAUAGACUACAUAUUCAUUGGAUAUGCUAAAAGCAGUAAAGCAUAUAGAUUCUUGAUUAGAAAAUUUAUACAUCUACCUAUCUAUGAAAAUACGGUAAUUAAAAAAGAUAAUACUGAGUUCUUUGAAUAAAUUUAUCUAUAUAAAAUUGGACAUGCGUGGUCUAGUGGGGGAUCUAAAUGACCUCGAGAUAAACUAAGUGAGAAUGUACAUAAUGAUGAGAAUCCAAUUUGUAGUAUAUGUCAAAGAACGUCAACUUUCUUUGGAUCGAAUUUUGUAAUGUUUCUCCCAUAAAAUGAGCCUCAAACAAUUAAAGAAGCAAUGUCGUCUUCAAACUCAUUAUUUUGGAAAGAGGCUGUCAAUAAUGAGAUUGAUUCAAUCUUGAGUAACCAUACUUGAGAAUUGGUAAAUUUUCCUCCAGGAAAUAAACCUUUAGAUUCAAAAUGGAUCUUCAAAAGAAAAAUGAAAGAAGAUGGUACUAUUGACAAAUACAAGGCAAGACUUGUCAUAAAAGGAUUCAAACAAAAGGAAGGCCUUGAUUAUUUUGAUACACACUCUCCUAUAAUAAGGAUAACAUUAAUUCAGAUUUUAGUUGCCUCGAAAGCGGUAUAUAUUCUUAAAAUCCAUCAAAUAGAUGUGAAAACAGCAUUCCUAAAUAAACAAUUAAAGGAAGAAAUUUACAUAGAAUAUCCUGAGGGUUUUGUGAUUCCUGGUAAAGAAAAGAAGGUGUGCAAGCUUGUUAAGUUACUUUAUGGACUAAAAAAAGCACCCAAAUAAUGGCAUGCAAAGUUUGACCAAACCAUGUUGGCAAAUGGUUUCAAGAUAAAUAAAUGUGAUAAAAGUGUUUACAUUAAAGACACUCCAAAUCACAAGGUCAUUGUUUAUUUUUAUGUGGAUGAUAUGUUGAUCAUCAGUAAUGACAUUUCUGACAUAAAUACUACAAAAAGAAUGCUUGAGAGCAAAUUUGACAUAAAAGACCUAGGAGUUGCAGAUGUAAUUAUGGGGAUAAGAAUCUAUUGAACUCCUACAGGGUUGGUGUUGUCACAUUCUCAUUAUAUUUAAAAGGUACUUGAAAUUCAAGUAUUUGGGUUUUGUAUUACCAAGACUCUAUUAGACGUGAGUUUUUCACUUCAAAAGAAUGAAGGUAAAAGUGACUCACAGUUGGACUACGCAAGAGUGUUGGGAAGUUUGAUGUAUAUCAUGAAUUGUAUGUGACUAGAUAUAGCAUCUUCUAUUAGUAAAUUGAGUUAGUACACGAGUAAUUCAAAUCAAACUCAUUGGAUGGCAAUGAAAAGCAUUUUCGGGUAUGUAAAACAUACUCAAUACUAUGCAUUGCAUUAUAACAAAUAUAUAGCAAUAAUUGAAGGAUAUAGUCAUGCAAAUUGGAUCACCUAAUUGAAUGAAGUAAAAUCCACUAGUGGAUAUGUAUUUACUUAAGAUGGAGGAGCAGUCUCUUAGAAAUUGUCCAAACAGAUAUGUAUUUCCUGCUCCACAAUGGAAUCUAAAUUUAUCGCGUUAAAUAGAGCCGGUGAAGAAAUUGAAUGACUCUAAAAUUUCUUGGAAGAAUUCCUUGUAGAGGCACUUACGGAAGGAUCCGUCAUCUUGGCAGGAAUUGCUUUAAAAUUGGGAAACUGUGGAGCUUUCGUAGAAAAUUUAGAAUUUCUUUUUUAUGUUGCGAUCACAUAAAAACAUAAAAUUUGAGGAUAAAUAGCUAAAUACAUGGCAAUUGAAUCAUAAGUUGAGAUCAUAAAGAGCAUACCAUGAGUAGGAAGUGGAAAUAAUACAAUAGAUUCAAAAGCAUCAAACCUCUCUUGUUCGAAAGAAUUAAAACAUAUCAAAAUGGUAACAGCUGACCUAUCACAUUUUAUAGUAAUAGAGAAUUUCCUAAUACCAAGAUGAUAGGGUCUAUAUGAGAAAUAUGACCAAUGGAAAUCAUUCACAAAUUUCUCUUUUAUAAAAGAGCCGUUAUUCCCGGUUGGCAUAGAAGUCUCUCACGCAGGUGAAGGAGAUGCAUUUUUGGUACUAGUCUAAACCUUUGGCACCAGUAUGUAUACACUGUGAUAGUCAAGCAGUGAUAAGUAGGGCAGAGAGCAUGAUGUACAAUGGUAAAUCUCGUCAUAUAAGAUGAAUACAUAAUACCAUUAGAAAACUACUCUUUAAUAGAAUUAUCAUUAUUGACUAUGUAAAGUUAAAAAAAAAUAUGUUGGAUCUACUUACAAAAGGCCUUUUAUAGAGAGUGAGUUGAAUGAACAUCAAAGGAAAUGGAUUUAAGGCCUAGGACAAGUCAACAUAGUGGUAACUCUACCUAGCAGACUGGAGAUCCCAAGAGCUAGGUUCAAGAAGAUCAAAUAAAGUUGUGACUGAUGGUUCAACAUUGUCAAUAUACUCAACCUGUUCUUAUAAUAAAGACAAUGUUCAGUGAACAAGGAUAUAGAUUAUAGUUUGAUGCUUUUUAUUCGUUUCUAAGUUUGGCAAGUUUGACCAAAUAGUUUGACCUAAAGAUUAAACAUUUAGAAAUCACCAAUGUGAGGGUGAAGUAAAAGAUGCUUAAAGGAUAAUGUUAGUAAAUACCUAUUCUCUACACUCUCAUGAAACAAGGAUGUGUUCAUGGGUGAAAUGAGCAAAACUGUGAGAACCACAAAUGAUAACAUGUUGGUUAUUUUAUGUAACACCCUGUAUUUCCCCAGCAUUAUCUAAGUCCCAAUACAUUAGUAUUCAUGUAUGAAAUUUUUGAAACACUUAUUUUUUUUUUCAGUUUAGAGCCUAUAAUUGUGUAGAAAAUUCAGUUAACUUUCCAAUGAUAUAAAAUUUGCCUAAAUCCGAUAACCGCGUAGACAACAUAAAUGAUGAUUGUUAAUUUCCAGCGAAACUACCGCGUCACGCCGUCAACCAAAAUCCUAAUUGUCCUUUUUCUAGUGUCCUGUCGCGAUAAUGCUGCGUCGCACCAAGGGUGAAUUUCAUAAUCAAAAGGUCACCUUGAUUCCACCACAUCGCGCCAUGCCCUUAGUUCCUAGUUGUCCUUUUUCCAAUGGCUUGGCACGAUAGCAGCGUGUCGCGCCAAGGAAAAAAAUUAGGAUGGUAAGUUUUCAGCUUCUAUUUUUAAAUUCGUUUAAGGGUAUUUGAGUCUUUUUCCAAGGCCUAAAAUACAAAAUUUAACCCCUAAAAACCAUAAGUAGUCAUCAUUAUUCAAUUAUCCUUCAAAAAUUAAAGAUCCCCUUUUUCAAGAACAAGAAACCCUAGCUCUCAAAGUCAAGGCAAUUUUUCAAGAACUCUCAAUCAAUACUUUUAAAUUCAUUAACCCAGGUAUGUUAGAUGUUCAUCCAUGGAUCCUUUUCAUCCAUGGAUUCUAAGCAACCUUUUUAAAUUAUAAAAUUGUGAUCUUUUCAAGAUAUAUGUUUUAAAUUAUGAUUUCAUCCAUGAAUCUUCAUGUAUUAUUGAUUUUAUAUCAUGUUACCAUAAAUUAUUGUUAUUAUUCAAUCUUCCAUGUUUUAAUACUAUGAUUUACUGAAUUAAACCAUGAUUUAAUGCUAUUAUGAGGAAUUCAUUCUAUUUAUACAAGAGUGAUUUAUUUAUUAAGAGCCUUCAUGUUUUGGCCUUCAAGAUUUAGUGUCCUUUCAGUAUUGUUGUUUUGAGUCUUGGGGAUAUUGAAUACCCAAAAAUCAUAGUUGUUUAUUUAGUCUAGCCUUAUUACAUUAUAGAAUAGUCUUCAGAUUAUAUUAUGAGAAUUAUUAGAAUAGUCAAAUAUCAGUUAUUCAACUCAGAAUAGUCUAGUACCUCAGUGUCUUUUUAUUGGGAGUAGGAUUUAUCACUGAGCGAGUGUAGGGAUGGCGGAUUCUCCGUCAGAUAGGUAGAGUCAUUAUUACUAGUCCCUAUACUCCAAAACUAUGUAGCAAGCAUAGAAUAUGAGUAGUCACCCUUCAGAUUAGGCUUGAAUAUCUCUCAGGGGUUACCCGUUAGUUCAGGAUUGACACCCUUAGUCCUUUGGACAUUAUAUCAUUUUAUUAGAUCCAUAUAACCAGUGUUAGUACCCAUGGUAUGGUAUUAACACCCUUCCAACUAGGGUUAUAGGUUAGACCUCAAUUAGCUCAAAUUGGGGAAUGUCGGUUAGAUGAUACCUCCCACAGUCUCAAAUAUAGUUUUAGCUAUAGUUCUAAUUUAGUUAUUAAGUAUCAGUAUUGUUUGACCAAAGCAUAUAGAUUUCAGUUAUUUCAGUAUUUAAGUGAUUACAGAUUUCAUCCAGUUCAUGUUAUAUGCUUGGUCAUACAUCUUCGGUGUUAGUACCUUACAGACUUUUAUGCAUGUUUGGUAUCUACUGAUUUCAUGUGCUCUGUUAGUAUUCCAUGCAUUACAUGUAUGCUCAAAUAGAUAAUUACUCCUAUUCAUGAAACUUUACAUGUUAGCCUACCUUAUUUAGCAUACCAAUACAUUCAAAGUACUGAUCAUAUAUUUUUAUUUUGUACUAUGAUGUCUCAUAUCAUAGGUGCUGACGCUCAAUUCCUAGAUCACACCGAGAUUCUCAGAUUAUAAGUAGUACAGUAGUAGUGGUGAGUUCUCAUCAUCCGAGGAUAGAGUAUUUACUUCAUUAUUUUAGUCUAAUUAAUUAGUUGGAGUUAGUUGGGCCCUGUCCUAUCAACUCUUAGUCAUUCAGAUCUAGAGGCUUUUCAGACAUUACAGUUAGUUAGUUGUUCAGUUUAUCAGUAUUUCAUCAGAUUCAAAUAGUUUUUUUUUUCUAGAUUUAUAUUUCACUUUUGAAUUCAGAUAUUAAAACCUUAUGGCAAAUAGUUAUUCUUUUGGAUUCAUGAUUAUAUUAUCCAAUGCUCAUAGUAGGUACCAUCUCACAGGUUAGCUUAUGGUCCCUCGGGACUGUAAGCACAGUGUAACAACUAGGGGGUAGUCUUGUGUUAUUACAAACUUAGUAUCAAAAACUAAGGUUUUAAAGUGUCCUAGGAAGUCUAAAAUCUGUGUUGAGUAGAGUCUUGUCCAUGGCUAUGUAGCACGCCACAGUUAUGGACGAGAGGCUAAAAAGGGUUUAGGAAAAGUUUCCCUUCUUUUAGUAUUCACGUCAUGCGAGUGAGCAUGAGCUCAAGUUAACUCUUAGUCUAAUUCAUUUCCUCCUUUUGUUUAUAGAACAUGCCUCCCAAGAAGAAUGGAAGAAGAAUAGGAACUCAGCCAACCCCACAGCCCAUUCAGGCAAACCCUCAGGACGAGCAUGUCUCUCACCUAGAAUUUAGGGUUGCAUUCACUACUCUGGUGUACUCCAUAGUAGCACAAAAUGAACGGACAGCUGUUGUUCUACCUAAUCCAGUGUCCAAUACUGCUGCAACCAGAAUUUAGGACUUUACCUGGAUGAAUCCUCCUUCUUUCAUAGGGUUUAAGUCUGAAGAUGAUCCAUGGGAAUUCUUAGAUAUAGUUAAGAAGGUCGGAUGCUAUGGGGGUGACAUCUAGUCAGAGUGCUGAGUUAAUUGCAUAUCAAUUGCAGGAUGUAGACCAUACUUGGUUUAAGAAGUGAAAAGUUGAUAAAGGUGUUGAUGUAAGGCCUAUAUAAUGGGAAGAGUUUGCCAUGGUUUUCCUAGACAAAUUCUUUCCAUUGGAGUUGAGGGAGGCCAAAGUGUUAGAAUUUAUUAAUUUUAGGCAAGGAAUCAUGAGUGCGAGGGAGUAUUCUAUCAAUUUUAUUCAAUUAGGUAGGUAUGCUCCUCAUGUGGUGGUGGACAAUAGGUCUAAGAUGAGUAAGUUUGUUUCUGGCGUGUCUGAUAGUAUGGUCAAGGAGAGUAGGACUGCAAUGUUGAUUAGUAAGAUGGACUUGUCUAUGUUGAUGGUCUAUACUCAACAAAUAGAGGAGCAGAAGAUUAAGGAGAUGGAGAGAAAAAAUAAGAAAUCUAGAACGGGUAAUUUUAACUUCAGUCAGCCAAAGUCAGAAGGUGGUAACCGUCCUUAGUUUCAUUAGAGGUCUUUAUCCCCAGUACCUUCUUUAGCCAGUUCCCUAGUACCCAAAUUUAGAAAUAAAAAUAGGGAUAGGGAACCAGGCUCUAUGUCCCAGGUUAAUGUUAGCAGUGCUCGUACCAAUCUUUUAUGUUAGAAAUAUCGCAGACACCAUCAGGGUGAGUGUAGAGUGGGUAGUUAUGUAUGCUUUGGGUAUGGUAAGCUAGGCCAUCAGAUUCGGCAGUGUCAGGUAGUUACUCAAUAGGGUAGGGAUGCACGCCAAAAAGGCCAGACCCAUCAGUCGUCAAUUCCAUCCGGCCACCCAACUCAGUAGGGUGCCGCUUCCAAUACUACCAGUGGUCAUUGCCCGAACAGAUUAUAUGCUCUUUAGUCCCGUCAAGAUCAGAAAAAUUCUCCUGACGUAAUUACUGGUAUGUUGCAGGUCUUUCACGUACAUAUUUAUGCUUUACUAGACCCUGGAGCUUCUCAUUCUUUUGUAACUCCAUAUAUAGCUAUGAAUUUUGGAGUCAGUCCUAAAACUCUACUAGGGCCCUUUUCAGUGUCUACCCUAGUAGGUGUUUCUAUUAUAGCCAGGCAGGUAUACAGGCACUUUCGGUCAUAAUAACUCAAAAAGUUACUCCAGCUGAUCUCAUGGAGUUAGAGAUAAUGGAUUUUGAUGUCAUUUUUGGCAUACAUUAGCUUCACUCAUGCUAUGCCUCAGUUGAUUAUAGAAAUGGAAUAGUUCAUUUUUAGUUUGCAAAUGAACCAGUCCUUGAAUGGAGAGGUAGUGCUACAUCUUUUAGGGGUCAGUUGAUUUCAUAACUUAGAGCCAGAAAGAUGAUAUUCAAAGGGUGUGUCUACCAUCUUGUAUGAGUCAAAGAUUCUAACUCAGAAACCCCUACUCUUGAGUCAAUCUCAGUAGUAAAUGAAUUCUCAGAUAUUUUUCCUAAAGAUCUUCCCGGAGUUCCUCCCGAAAGGGAAAUCGACUUCAGAAUAGACCUUCUCCCAGAUAUUUAGCCUAUAUCUAUUUUUCCAAAUAGAAUGGCUCCAGCUAAACUCAAAGAACUGAAAGAAAAGUUGAAGGAUCUCUUAAAUAAGGGAUUCAUAAGAUCCAGCAUCUCCCUAUGGGGUGCACCUGUUCUAUUCGUGCAUAUGAAAGAUAAUUCUCUCAGAAUGUGUAUAGAAUACCGUCAGUUGAACAGAGUCACAAUCAAGAAUAAAUACCCACUUUCUAGAAUCGAUGACUUGUUUGACCAACUUCAGGGUGCCAAUUAUUUUUCCAAAAUAGACCUCAGAUUAGGCUAUCAUUAGCUUAGACUCAAAGAAUGUGACAUUCUAAAAACAGCUUUCCAAACUAAGUAUGGUCACUUCAAAUUUUUAGUCAUGUCCUUUGGUCUUACAAAUGCCCCAGCAACCUUCAUCGACUUGAUGAACCGAGUGUUCAAUCAGUACUUGGACAUGUUCAGCAUAGUCUUUAUUAAUGACAUUCUUGUCUAUUCUCAUAGCUAAAGCGAUCAUCCGGACCAUCUCAGCAUAGUGCUUUAGACUCUUAGAUCCUAUCAGUUGUUCACUAAAUUUAGUAAGUGUGAAUUAUGGAGAAGAUCAGUACCAUUCCUUGGUCAUAUUAUUUCCGGUGAUGGCAUUAGAGUUGAUCCUCAAAAGACUGAAGCAGUGAGAAACUGACCUAGACCUAUCUCUCCAUUAGAUACCAAGAGUUUUUUGGGUUUAGCUGGCUAUUAUCAUCGGUUUGUUGAAGGGUUUUCUUCUAUUGCAUACCUCAUGUCUAGAUUAACUCAGAAUAAAGUUAAGUUUCAGUGGUUAGAUUCAUGCAAAAAGAGUUUUCAGGAGUUGAAGACUCGAGUUACCUCAGCCCCAGUCUUGGAUCUACCAGAUGGUUCAGUUGGGUUUGUUGUCUACUGUGAUGCAUCCAGAGUAGGUUUGGGUUGUGUCCUCAUGCAAAGAGGUAAGGUCAUAGCCUACGCCUCCAGAAAGCUUAAGCCUCAUGAGAAGAAUUAUCCGACUCAUGAUCUUAAGCUAGAAGCUGUAGUAUUUUUCUUAAACAAUUAGAGGCAUUACUUGUAUGGGGUGCAUGUAGAUGUGUUCACAUAUCACAAAAUCCUCCAGUAUGUGUUCUCUCAGAAAGAUUUGAAUUUGCAUCAGAGAAGGUAAUUAGAGUUAUUAAAGAAUUAUGACAUGAGUGUUUGGUAUUAUCUGGGCAAGGACAAUGUAGUGGAUGAUGCUCUCAGUAGAAUGUCUAUGGGUAGUGUAGCUCAUGUUGAGGAUGGUAAAAUGAAGUUAGAUCAGGAAGUUCAUCAGCUUGCCCGACUAGGUGUUUGUUUACUCGAUUCAGCAGAAGGUAGUAGAUGGGUAUAGAGUAGCUCAGAGUCAUCUCUAGUUUUUGAGGUAAAAGAAAAGUAGGAUAGAGAUCCCAGUCUAGUUAUGUUGAAAGAAUUAGUUAGAGAUUAGAAGGUGGAGGUUUUCUCCCAAGGGGGAGAUGGUGUUUUGCAUUGUCAGGGUAGAUUGUGUGUGCCUAGUGUAGAUGAUUUGAGGAAAAUAAUUCUUCAAGAAAUGCAUUGUAAGCAUUACUCUAUUUAUCCAGGGGCCAUUAAAAUGUACCGUAAUUUGCGGGAGAUCUAUUGGUAGAGUAGGAUGAAGAUAGAUAUUGUAGAUUUUGUAGCUAAGUGGUCUAUAUGUCAGCAAGUUAAGCUCGAGCACCAGAAGCCUAGUGGGUCCAUGCGGGAGUUCAAUAUUCCCAUGUGGAAAUGGGAAUAAGUAAACAUGGAUUUUGUGAAUAAUUUGUGUCGUACCCAUCAUCAGCAUAAUUCUAUUUGGGUUAUCGUAGAUAGGCUGACCAAAUUAGCUCAUUUCUUGCCAGUCCAAACCUCUUAUUCAGCUAAGGACUAUGCCAAUCUCUAUCUCAUAGAGUUGGUUAGGUUGUACGGUGUUCCUUUACCUAUCAUCUCUGAUAGAGGUACUCAAUUUACCUCUCACUUCUAGAAAGCAUUCCAAAAGGGUGUUGGUACCCAAGUCCACCUCAGUACAACCUUCCACUCUCAGACAGAUGGUCAAGUAGAAAGGACCAUUUAAACUCUUAAGGAUAUGCUAAGAGUGUGCAUUGUUGAUUUCAAGGGUAAUUAGGAUGACCAUUAUCCUUUGAUUGAAUUCGCAUUCAAUAACAGCUAUCAUUCCAGUAUUCGUAUGGCUCUAUUUGAGCUUCUCUAUGGUAGGAGAUUUAGAUCUUCAAUUAGUUUGUUUGAAGUAGGUAAGGCUGCAAUAGUAGGGCCUGACUUGGUGCUUAGUUGAUCAGAGAAAGGCUUAGGGAUGCCCAGAGCUGACAGAAAUUGUAUGCUGAUGUAAAGAGAAAGAAUCUCGAGUUUAAGGUCGGUAACUUCGUGUAUUUGAAAAUCUCUCCCAUGAAAAGAGUGAAAAGAUUUGACAAGAAAGGGAAACUCAGUCCCUGAUAUGUCGGUCCCUUCAGAAUCCUCAGUUGUUUCAAAAAGGUAGCUCACGAGCUAGAGUUGUCUUCAGAUUUAGCCUUAGUACACCCAAUGUUCCAUGUCUCAUUGUUGAAAAGGUGUAUUGGUGAUCCAGCAGUAGUUGUUCCCUUAGAAAGUGUAGAUAUUCAAAAUAGUCUUUCCUUUGAGGAAGUUCCAGUCGAAAUUCUUGAUCAUCAAGUUCAUAGACUAAGGAGCAAAGAAGUUCCACUAGUCAAAGUUCUUUGGCGGAAUCAGUCUGUUAAGGGAGCCACUGGGGAAGCAAAAGCAGAUAUGCGGACCAAGUACCCUCAUCUUUUCUCUUCGAAUCCAAAUUCAGUACAAGGUACUAAUCGUCUUACGAUUUUCUUUCCUCUGUCAUGCUCAGUUUCAGCCGUACAUCAUGUUCCUUUCAUUUGUGCAUUCAUGAAUCAGUUCGGUCAUGCAUUCCUUGCAUCAGAUAUGCAUAUUAAGUGUGUAAACUCAGUCCAUCAAUUUCCUCAGCUUAACCAGUUUCAUUCGGUGAUGAAUGAUCGCAAUGGGGAGAUAUUGUAACACCCCAUAAUUCCCCAUCAUUAUCUAAGUCCCAAUACAUGAGUAUUCAUGUAUAAAAUUUUUGAAACACUCAUUAUUUUUUAGUCUAAAGUCAGCCAUUGCGUAGGAAAUUCAAUUAGCUUUCCAACGAUAUAAAAUUUGCCUAAAUCCGAUAACUAGGUAAGAAGUUAUGGUGAUUUUAAGUUUUAGACAUUAAACACCGUCAUUUUGACCCUUAGCUCAUCGCGGAGACAACAUAAAUGAUGAUUGUCAAUUUUCAGUAAAGCUCCGCAAAACCAUCGCGUCGCGCCGUCAACCAAAAUCCCAAUUGUCUUUUUUCCAUUGUCCUAUCACGAUAAUGGCGCGCGCGCCAAGGGUGAAUUUAAGAAUCAAAAGGGUACCGCAAUUCCUCCUCAUUGCUCCAUUCCCUCAGUUCCCAUUUGUCCCUUUUUCAAUGGCUUGGCGCGAUAACGGCACUUCGCGCCAAGGCCAAAAAUUGGGACGGUCAAUUUUCAGCUUCCGUUUCUAAAUUUGUUUAAGGGUAUUUGGGUCUUUUCCAUGGCCCUAAUUAACCUAAAACACAAAAUUUAACCACUAAGGGUAUUUAGUCAUCAUUAUUCAAUUCUCCUUCAAAAAUUAAAGAUCCCCUUUUUCAAGAACAAGAAACCCUAGCUCUCAAAUUCAAGGCAAUUUCUUAAGAACUCUUCAUCAAUCUUUUCAAAUUCGUUAACCCAGGUAUGUUAGAUGUUCAUCCAUGGAUCCCUUUCAUCCAUGGAUUCCAAGCAACCUUUUUAAAUUAUAAAAUUAUGAUCUUUUAAGGAUUUAUAUUUUAAAUUAUGAUUUCAUCCAUGAAUCUCCAUGUACUAUUGAUUUUAUACUAUGUUACCAGGAAAUUAUUGUUAUUAUUCAAUCUUCCAUUUUUAAUACUAUGAUUUACUAAAUUAAACCAUGAUUUAAUGCUAUUAUGAUGAAUUCAUGCUAUUUAUACAAGUUCUAUGACAUUCCUAUGAUUGUUUUAAAAUCGUGAACUACAAGUGUUUGAUAAAAUGCCUACAAGAGUGAUUUAUUUAUUAAGAGCCUUCAUGUUUUGGCCUUUAAGCUUUAGUGUCUUUCUGUAUUGUUGUUGAGUCCUGGGGGUAUUGAAUACCCAAAAACCAUAGCUAUUUAUUUAGUCUAGCCAUAGUAUAUUAUAGAAGAGUCUUCAGAUUAUAUUAUGAGCAUUAUCAGCAUAGUCAGAUAUCAGUUAUUCAACUCAGAAUAGUCUAGUACCUCACUGUCUUUAAGUUGGGAGUAGGAUUUAGCACCGAGCGAGUGUAGGGAUGGUAGCUUCCCCGUCAGAUAGGUAGAGUCAUUAGGAGCAGUCCCUAUACUCCAAAAAUACGUAGCCAACGUAGGAUAUGAGUAGUCACCCAUCAUAUUAGGCUUGACUAUCUCGCAGGGGUCACCUAUCAGUUCAGGCGUGACACCCUUAGUCCUUUGGACAUUAUAUCAGUUUAGUUGAUCCACACAGCUAGCAUUUGUACCCGUGGCAUGGUAUUAACACCCUUGCAACUGGGGUUACAGGCCGAACCUCGAUUAGCUCAAAUUAGGGAAUGACAAUUAGAUUAUACCUCCCACAGUCUCAGAUAUAGUUUCAUCUAUAGUUCCAAUUAAGUUAUUCAGUCUCAGUAUUGUUUGACCAAAGCAUACAUAUUUCAGUUAGUUCAAUAUUUAAGUGAUUACAGAUUUCAUCCAGUUCAUGUCAUAUGCUUGGUCAUACAUCUUUAGUUUCUACAGAUUUUCAUAUAUUUCUAGAACUUUACAGACUUUCAUGCAUGUUCGGUAUCUAUAGAUUUUAUGUUGUCUGUUCAGUAUUCCAUGCAUUAUGUGUAUACUCAGAUAGAUCAUUACUCCUAUUCAUGAAACCUUGCAUGUUAGCCUACCUUAUUUAGCAUACCAAUACAUUUAAAGUACUGAUCGCAUACUUUUCUUUUGCGCUAUGAUGUCUCAUAUCAUACGUGCUGACGCUCAGUUCCCAGAUCGCACCUAGAUUCUUAAAUUAUCAGCAGUACAGUAGCAGCGGUGAGUCCUUAUCAUUCGAGGAAAGAGUAUUUACUUUCGUACUUCAGUUAAAUUAGUUAGUUGGAGUUAGUUAGGGCCUGUCCCAUUAACUCUCAGUCAUUCAGAUCUAGAGGCUUUUCAGACAUUACAGUCAGUUAGUUGUUCAGUUUAGAAGUACUUCAUCAGAUUUAGACUGUUGUUUUUCCUAGAUUUAUAUUGCAGUUUUGAAUUCAGAUAUUGAAACCUUAUGGCAUUUCAUUUACUCUUCCACAUUCAUAAUUAUAUUAUCUAGUGCUCACAGCAAGUACCAGCUUAUGGGUUAGCUUGUGGUCCCUCGAGACUGUAAGCAUCGUGUAACAACUAGGGGUAGUCUUGGGUCGUUACAUUUUACCUGUGUGGUCUAUGCGUAUAUUAAAGUUUGACAGUUCAAAGAUAUCAAAUGUACCGAUUGAUCUAGUGCAUCUGAUGCAUGUUCACUACGGAAAGUUCAAAGAAAAACCUACUUAUCUAGAUGUAAUUAGUCGUUUCUUGUUAACCAUACACUUGUCCAUAAAUUUUUUGUUAAAAUAUUCAUUCCCCAUUCAUGUGGGGCAUUGUUGGGUUUUUAAGAGGUGUGAAUAAAAAAUUAAUAGGUGUUUUUUUCAAAAAGACACCAACAAAAAGUAUGCAAUUCAAAUAGGCAUAUUUUUGGAUUGAAUGGUUAUGACUUUUCCAAUGGGUUGUGGCUUUUCCAACGAGUUGUACCUUUUCUGAAGAGUUGCACCUUUACAAAGGGGUGCACAUUUCUGAACCAUUGCUUCUCUUCAGGAAGCAACACCUUGAUGGCUAUAAAUACCUAAAUUCUUCCUCAUAUAAAGAUAAUUUUUUGUUAGAAAAAUAAUCUUCUUCUUCUUCUAAGAACUCUUGUGUGAUGAUCAAAUCGUUUGAAGUUUCAACAAAUUUGAGGUACCAGUAUAUUUAGAAAGAGAAUCAUUUUAUCCUCAAAGGAAAUAUUUCGUAACCUCGAGUACUUGAGGGGAAUAAAUUCCUUAGGGACACUCUGUGUAUUCAGUGCACCUGAUUCUACAAUUUUCUUCCUCAUCUUCUUUCUUAAAGUUGAUAAACAGUUUAUUUUGAUAGUUUAUUUGAUUAUUCAUCUGGAUUUGUAUUUGUAGUUGUUGUAACUUCAUUGGAGUUCUUGAAAGUUGUUCUUGAACUUAGUAUUGAAGUUUGGGUUGAAACAUACAGAUUUUUAUACCCUGAAUAACAUCAAAUACCAUAAAGAAGAUAUAAGCAAUCAAAUAAGCAGGAAACAACACCACAUAAAGGUAAUAGACAACAAUGCAACAAAUGAUCUGCAGGAAAAAUUGAUAAGAUAAUUAUUAAUUUUCUCUGAAGUUUGUGCAGUGGUAUUAGGCUCAUUCUUCUGAACUAUGGGGAAAAUGAAAAAUUAUCAAACAUGGGAAUUAACCUUACAAUAACAGACUGGUUUUAAGUUGUAAAAAAUGAAAAAAUGGAUACCUGGUUAGAUGGUUGAUUGGAUAAUCCCUCAAGAAGAUACAUACCAUGAACAAGGAAUAAUUAUAUUAGUACAUAAGAGAAUAUGAAGGAAGAAAAGUACCAAAAAUUGAUUUUCAACUCACUUGGACUGACAACUUUGAGUCAAAGAAGUCUUCAUUGAGUGGGUUUUCAUGGCAUUCGUGAGAAUUAGAGUGUCUUUUGUGAAAAUGCCUCAAACUCAAAUAGUUCAUAUCAUGAGAAGGCGGUUCAUUGAGUGGGUUUUCAUGGCAUUCGUGAGAAUUAGAGUGUCUUUUGUGAAAAUGCCUCAAACUCAAAUAGUUCAUAUCAUGUAGUUGGCCUUCUUCAGCUACACUUCAUCAUUAGAAGGUGGUUCGUAGAAGGAGAUACAGAGCACAUGAAUGAAAUUGAAUUCAAAAAGAAAUUAGAACUUGCUACUCCAACGUAAGUACUACAUGGAUGAGUUUAUAGAUCUAGCUCAAAUGGUGAUAUUAAUCCCAUUGGGAUUCAACCCAUUGAGUGAUAGAUUUGAGAACUCAUCCUUAUUGGUACCGGUAGAUGGAGAUAAGAAAAAUAUCACAAGAAUGGAUUUAAAGGGAGAUCACGUUUUGAAUCUUUAAAUCAAGAAGAAGAUUUUUGAUAAGGCAAGACCAAGAGACAACAGAUAAGACUCUAGAAGCCUCUUCCACUUUCCUAAUUGGUACAACAAUAGAUUGGUUUUUAUUUCUCAGAUAUUUUAUUUUGGGUUGUCCAUUUAUUUGACUGAGGGCCACUAUGAAUAUUGUUU